UACGUAGGGUGCGAGCGUUAAUCGGAAUUACUGGGCGUAAAGCGUGCGCAGGCGGUUUGGUAAGUCUGAUGUGAAAGCCCCGGGCUCAACCUGGGAAUGGCAUUGGAAACUGGCAAGCUUGAGUAUGGCAGAGGGGGGUGGAAUUCCGCGUGUAGCAGUGAAAUGCGUAGAGAUGCGGAGGAACACCGAUGGCGAAGGCAGCCCCCUGGGCCAAUACUGACGCUCAGGCACGAAAGCGUGGGAGCAAACAGG
rnacentral:rRNA from 1 species